UAUAAACAUCUUCUAGUGGAAGC
rnacentral:miRNA from 1 species